rnacentral:lncRNA from 1 species
GGUGAAUUGUUUCAAAUAACUUUGAAAGGGUUAUGUCUCGUUCUUCAGUUUUUAUAACAAAAUCAGUUUUUAAAAAAUCAAGCUUUUUUGUUUUGUAAAUCAUGUCUUUAGAAAUCUUUGAUAAUUCUCAAUUAUCAAUAGCUUUAUUAAAGUCUUCAAUUAUGAAUUCUUUUGAAUUCACAACAUUCUUAGAAUCACUAGUCCUUCCAGAAGAAGAGCUAGAGAAAGAUGAUGCUCUACAGAGUAGGGAAUCCAUAUAUGCUAUAACCUAUAAAUGAUCUAGUUUUACAGGAAUGGCAAAUCAAUCCUAGGCUAAGAGUUGAUUUUACUGUCCUUCAACCAAAUUGGGACUUACGACCAAAUACUACCAAGACACCCAAAGGUAACGCCGCUUACCACUCUAGCAAAAGUUUAAUCACAUACAACUUCAACCUACACAAAAACUCUAAACUAUAAAACACUACUCCCCCUGGCUCUGAUACCAGUAUAAAACCCGAACAUGCGGGAAUCCAUUAUGAUACCAGUAUUGGCUCUGAUACCAGUAUUGGUAUGUGGCGUUGUUUUACUAGAUCAAUGCAAAACUUAAUAUGCCUUAGGGACCAGAUCUGACUUAGAACAGAUCUGACUUAGAACAUAUCAAUAUCCCGCAUGUUAGGGUUUCCAGCCGAUAUACCAAAAGGCUCAGCGAUAGUACUAGAUCUGGAUCCCAAAAAUAGUAUUCUGAUUGAAUGGAGGGAGAAAAGAAAUACAACUAAGGUCAGAGAUCCGGUCUCUAUGCCUUAGAGGAUACGUAACAGUUUAUAAAAAAAUUUAAACAGGCUUUAAAUAAAUUACAAGAAUUUAAAACAUACAAGCUUUAAAAUAUUAAACAUAUUAAACUUACAUAUUAUUUUUGCUUGAAUCCAAGAAACUUCUACAAUAUAGUUUUACAGAAUAGAGAAGAUGAGAAAGUUCUGAGACAGGAAAAUUUCCUCUAAGUCUCUGAUUUUUCUCAAGAGGAGAAUACAAGAAGAAGUAGAAGAAGAGAAGUGCCAUCCCUUCUGCUCCAGCCCUCGAUUUAUAGAUUUAGAAGUGCUUUUUCUGGUGGGUGCAUGAGACAACUACUUCGAGAAACGUGCUUGUG